UGGCCUAUGAUGACAACACUUCAAUAAACCAUCUUUCGGGACUGAACGGUUUCAACCUUGAUGUUAUUCUGCAAUUCUGAGGCCC